CACACUAGCCGGACUCAUUGUUGGCACACUAGCCAGACUGGGGCCCUCUCUUGCUAUCAACUGGGAGUAAGUGCUUUCUAGUUUGGUUAUUGUGUCGGCAAACUAUCCAGCGGCUGCGUA
rnacentral:precursor_RNA from 14 species